rnacentral:rRNA from 1 species
GACGAACGCUGGCGGCGUGCUUAACACAUGCAAGUCGAACGCUGAAGCUUGGUGCUUGCACUGGGUGGAUGAGUGGCGAACGGGUGAGUAAUACGUGAGUAACCUGCCCUUGACUCUGGGAUAAGCCUGGGAAACUGGGUCUAAUACUGGAUACGACAUGCCACUGCAUGGUGGUGUGUGGAAAGGGUUUUACUGGUUUUGGAUGGGCUCACGGCCUAUCAGCUUGUUGGUGGGGUAAUGGCCUACCAAGGCGACGACGGGUAGCCAGCCUGAGAGGGUGACCGGCCACACUGGGACUGAGACACGGCCCAGACUCCUACGGGAGGCAGCAGUGGGGAAUAUUGCACAAUGGGCGGAAGCCUGAUGCAGCGACGCCGCGUGAGGGAUGACGGCCUUCGGGUUGUAAACCUCUUUCAGCACGGAAGAAGCGAGAGUGACGGUACGUGCAGAAGAAGCGCCGGCUAACUACGUG